AGAAGUUGUCCAGGGGUCCCUGAGGGAGGCCAGCACAAGAGCUCUGCUGUAAAAGGACAUUGGACAGGUGUGAAGAGUCCAAUCAGAAACUCUUUUUGAGAGAUUGAACACAAAGCAUUCAGAGAGUCAGCAGGCUGGAGAGGCCAAGACACACACACACGAAGAAGGCAGGACACUCUUCUCCUCCUGCCACUGGACUCCAGGCUCUAUGACCUUCAAACUCCAGGACUUACACCCGCCGCCCCUGGGCACUCAGGACUUCUGCCUCAGACUGACAGUUGCAGGACAGUGCAGCAUUUUAUUUUAAAAAUACCCCACAACGUAGGUGGCUGGUCCCACUGUAGGGCAGAUACGCUUCCUUGAUUCUGAGGUCUUUGAACUUGCCCUGAAGCCACGCUACCCGCAUCCCAGGGUCUCCAGCUUGCAGAUGGACUGUGGUGGGACUUCUCAGCCACCAAGAUUGAGAGCUGUACUAGCCUGGCAUGCAGACAGCAGCUUUAGAAUCAGAUCUGCCUUCUGGUGGCUUCCCACCUAGGAGCCAUGGGACCUUUGUGAAGUCGCCAAUUGUGCUGUGGAUGCUUCAUUUGUGAAGGAGAACAGGAGUGCCUUGUGAAAUUACAGAUGGUGCUAAUAAAACAUAUCAAUAAUUUGAAUUUCACUUUUGUGGAUGCUUUAAACGUCAUAGUCAUUAGAAGGUGGAUCUGGCUGAUUGUACUUUAAAUUUUCAGUUUGGGCUGGAGCUUUGUAUUAUAACAGGAGGAUACUGGACAAGAUGAGGAAACUGAGGUACAGAUGGGAAACAUAACUUGUUCAAGUUCACACAGCAAUUAAGUGGUCAAGUCCAAGAGCAAAACCAGGCAGGCUGGCUCCAGAGCUCACGAUAGCCCACCACUGCUUUCCACCAUCACUACGGAAUCAAGUCCAUGAGGAUACUCACCUUAUGUCAGUUGCCUAAGUUGGAAAUUAUAGAAUCUUCAAAUUGGAAGGGACCUUAUCAUCCAAGAUUUCAACUUUCUACUCACUGCAAAAUCCCUUCUGGAACUUUCCAGAUUGAUGAAUUUUCAUCAGCUCUGCUUGAGUACUCCCAGUGACUUGGAAAAAAACACUGUAAUAUGGAUAUGAAAUAUAAACUGUUUGUGGAUAAAUUAUUGCAUAAUAAAAACAUGCCUAAUGGCUACACUCCCCUAA